CAAGUCGAACGGCAGCGGGGGCUUCGGCCUGCCGGCGAGUGGCGAACGGGUGAGUAAUGCAUCGGAACGUGCCCAGUCAUGGGGGAUAACUACGCGAAAGCGUAGCUAAUACCGCAUACGCCCUGAGGGGGAAAGUGGGGGAUCUUUGGACCUCACGUGAUUGGAGCGGCCGAUGUCAGAUUAGCUAGUUGGUGAGGUAAAGGCUCACCAAGGCGACGAUCUGUAGCGGGUCUGAGAGGAUGAUCCGCCACACUGGUACUGAGACACGGACCAGACUCCUACGGGAGGCAGCAGUGAGGAAUAUUGGUCAAUGGGCGCGAGCCUGAACCAGCCAAGUCGCGUGCAGGAAGAAUGUCCUAUGGAUUGUAAACUGCUUUUGCAGGGGAAUAAAGUUCGGCACGUGUGCCGUUUUGUAUGUACUCUGCGAAUAAGGAUCGGCUAACUCCGUGCCAGCAGCCGCGGUAAUACGGAGGAUCCGAGCGUUAUCCGGAUUUAUUGGGGUUUAAAGGGUGCGUAGCGGGAUAAUAAGUCAGUGGUGAAAGUUUGCAGCUUAACUGUAAAAUUGCCGUUGAAACUGUUAUUCUUGAGAGUAGAUAANGUAGGCGGAAUGUGUUGUGUAGCCGNGAAAUGCAUAGAU
rnacentral:rRNA from 1 species